AUUGAACGCUGGCGGCAGGCCUAACACAUGCAAGUCGAGCGGAGCGGCGGACGGGUGAGUAAUGCCUAGGAAUCUGCCUGGUAGUGGGGGAUAACGACCGGAAACGGGCGCUAAUACCGCAUACUAUCAGAAGAGCCUAGGUAGGAUUAGAUAGUUGGUGGGGUAAAGGACUACCAAGGCGACGAUCCGUAACUGGUCUGAAAGGAUGAUCAGUCACACUGGAACUGGGACACUGUCCAGCCUCCUACGGGAGGCAGAAGUGGGGAAUAUUGGACAAUGGGCGAUAGCCUGAUCCGGCCAUGCCGCGUGUGUGAAGAAGGUCUUCGGAUUGUAAAGCACUUUAAGUUGGGAGGCGUUACCAACAGAAUCAGCACCGGCUAACUUCGUGCCAGCAGCCGCGGUAAUAGCGGUAAUUC
rnacentral:rRNA from 1 species